CCCUUAGAUGUUCUGGGCCGCACGCGCGCUACACUGAUGCAUUCAACGAGCACCCGCUGGGCCGAGAGGUCCGGCUAAUCUUUGAACGUGCAUCGUGCUGGGGAUAGAUGAUUGCAAUUAUUCAUCUUCAACCAGGAAUUCCUAGUAAACGCAAGUCAUCAGCUUGCAUUGAUUACGUCCCUGCCCUUUGUACACACCGCCCGUCGCACCUACCGAUUGAAUGGUCCGGUGAAAUUCUCGGACGCGGACUUGCGAUGUUAAUUCGGAGCUUGACUGUGAAAGUUAAUUAAACCUUACCAUUUAGAGGAAGGUGAANUCGUAACA
rnacentral:rRNA from 1 species